rnacentral:rRNA from 1 species
GAGCGGCGCACGGGUGAGUAACACGUGGGAACGUGCCCAACGGUUCGGAAUAACUCAGGGAAACUUGUGCUAAUACCGAAUACGCCCGGGGAAAGAUUUAUCGCCGAUGGAGCGGCCCGCGUCCGAUUAGCUUGUUGGUGAGGUAAAAGCUUACCAAGGCGACGAUCGGUAGCUGGUUUGAGAGAACGAUCAGCCACGCUGGGACUGAGACACGGCCCAGACUCCUACGGGAGGCGGCAGUGGGGAAUCUUGGACAAUGGGGGAAACCCUGAUCCAGCCAUGCCGCGUGAGUGAUGAAGGCCCUAGGGUUGUAAAACUCUUUCGGCGGGGACGAUAAUGACGGUACCCGCAGAAGAAGCUCCGGCUAACUUCGUGCCAGCAGCCGCGGUAAUACGAAGGGGGCUAGCGUUGUUCGGAAUUACUGGGCGUAAAGCGCGCGCAGGCGGUUCUUCAAGUCAGGGGUGAAAGCCCAGAGCUCAACUCUGGAAUUGCCCUUGAGACUGUAGGACUUGGGUUCGGGAGAGGUGAGUGGAAUUCCGAGUGUAGAGGUGAAAUUCGUAGAUAUUCGGAAGAACACCAGUGGCGAAGGCGGCUCACUGGCCCGAUAC